rnacentral:rRNA from 1 species
CCUACGGGAGGCAGCAGUGGGGAAUUUUGGACAAUGGGCGCAAGCCUGAUCCAGCUAUUCCGCGUGUGGGAUGACGGCCCUCGGGUUGGAAACCACUUUAGGAGAGAACGAAAAGGAGCUAUCGAAUAAAUAGCUCUGCUGACGGUACGCUAAGAAUAAGCACCGGCUAACUACGGGCCAGCAGCCGCGGUAAUGCGUAGGGUGCUGGCGUUAAUCGGAUGUACUGGGCGUAAAGGGGGUGCAGGUGGCGGAGUAAGACAGAUGUGAAAUCCCCGGGCUUAACCUGGGAACCGCAUAUGUGACUGCUUGGUUAGAGUGCGUCUGCGGGAGGUGGAAUUUCAGGUGUAGCAGUGAAAUGCGUAGAUAUG